AUGGCUGACACCGGAGGUCAGCCGAGCCAGACGGCGGCGGCACCCCGCAACGACGGCGGGGAUGGGAGCCGCUCGCGCACUCCACCACGGGGGCGCAGUCGUGGACGGAGCCGCGCACGGAGGGAGCGACAGGUGGUGAUCCACCAGGCGGCGGCCACGGAGCGCGCGCCGCUCGUGCCCGGUGCGGGCACCACGUUCCCGACGCUAACGUCCACGAACUACAUCGAGUGGUCCCUCGUGAUGAAGGUGCACCUGGAGUCUUGGGGGCUCUGGGACGCGAUCCAAGGCAACGCACAACACGUGCGCGACGACAAGACGACGCUCGGCGUUCUGUUCCGAGCCGUUCCCCCGGAGAUGCUCGGCGUCCUCGUCGUCAAGGAGACGGCGAAGGAGGCCUGGGACACCAUCAAGGUCAUGCGCAUGGGGGUGCACCGGGUGCGCGAGGCGACCGCGCAACGACUGCGCGCGGAGUUCGAGCAGAUCACCUUCCGCGACGGCGAGACUCUCGACUCCUUCGGCAUGCGGAUCACCUCCCUAGUCAACCAGUUGCGUACGCUGGGGGACAACGUCGACGAGGUGCGCGUGAUCCAGAAGAUCCUUCGUGUCGUCCCCGCCCGCUACGCCCAGAUCGCAGUAGCGAUCGAGACGCUCCUUGACCUGACCACAAUCUCGGUCGAGGAGCUGAUCGGUCGACUGCGCACCGCAGAGGAGCGCUGUGGUGGCGGGGAGGCUCAGGCCAGCGGAGGCGGCCAGUUGCUCAUGACGGAGCAGCAGUGGGACGUGCGGCGCCGGGAGCGCGAGCAGGGCCAGGGGUCCGGCUCGAAUGGCGCCGGCAACGGGAACGGCAACGGGGGCGGCGGCAAUCGCCGCCGUGGCAAGCCGCAGAACCAGAGGCGCGGCAACGACGCUCAAGGCCAAGGCGGCGGCAGCGGCCGCGACAACACCGGCAACGGCGGGCGCGACAUGUCUAAGGUGAAGUGUUACAAUUGCAACAAAAAUGGCCACUUCUCCCGUGAUUGCACCGAGCCCCGGCGGGAACGAAAGGGGGAGGCUCACCUGGCGCAAGGUGGGGCUGAGGAGAGCUCGCUCCUGCUCGCGACGGCGGACGUGAGCACCACGGCCGAACCCACGCCAGAGCACGUACUGCUCAACGAAGAGCACUCCCAGGCGCGCGCAGCGGCAGACGGCCAGUCCUGCGACCUCGCCUGGUACCUCGACACGGGUGCGAGCAACCACAUGUCGGGCCGGCGAGAGAUCUUCUCGGCGCUGGACACCGGCGUCCGCGACGCUGUGAAACUUGGGGACGGCUCGGCGGUCCAGAUCGAGGGGAGAGGGACGAUCCUCUUCCAAUGCCGCAACGGUGAGCACUUGGUACUGUCAGAUGUGUAUUACAUCCCAAAGCUCUGCAGCAACAUCGUCAGCAUCGGACAGUUGGACGAGCUCGCUUACGAGACCCACAUAAGCUUCGGCGUGCUCCAACUACGUGAUCCGGGUGGGCGUCUCCUCGCGCGGGUGCAUCGGAACGAGGGGAGGCUGUACGUGCUGCAGCUCACUCCGGCCCGGCCAGUAUGCUUCGUGGCACACGCCGGAGAGGAUGCGUGGCGCUGGCAUGCGCGCUACGGCCACGUGAAUUUCCGGGCUCUACGCCAACUUGCCCGGAAUGAUCUGGUGCGCGGCCUCCCGCUAUUCGACGAGGCGGAUCGUGUCUGUGAGGCGUGCCUCGCCGGCAAGCAGCGACGGGCACCCUUCCCUCAGGCAGCUCUCCGUAGAGCCGGCGAGGUCCUUGAGCUGGUGCAUGCGGACCUCUGUGGGCCGAUCUCCCCUCCAACGCCAGGAGGGAAGCGAUACUUCCUGUUGCUGGUAGAUGACAAGAGCAGGCACAUGUGGUUGUACCUGCUCGCGACCAAGGACGAGGCACAGCCAGCACUGAAACGGUUCCAGGCCAUGGCGGAGCUCGAGUCCGGCCGGCAGCUCAAGGCGCUGCGCACGGACCGCGGCGGGGAAUUCACGUCCUCCAGCCUCGGUGAGUACUACACCGACCAGGGAGUCCAGCGCCAGCUCACGGCGCCCUACACGCCUCAGCAGAACGGCGUGGUCGAGCGCCGGAACCAGACCAUCGUGGGCAUGGCGCGCAGCCUACUGAAGGCAAAGGGCGUGCCGGCACGGUUCUGGGGCGAGGCCGUAACGACGGCGGUCUACCUCCUGAACAGGUCAACAACGAAGAGUGUGGCGGGGUCGACCCCGCACGAGGCCUGGUGCGGGCGGCGUCCAAACGUCGAGCACCUGCGCGUGUUCGGGAGCGUCGCGCACGUCAAGGUGACACGCCCAAACCUGUCGAAACUUGAAGACAGGAGCACACCCAUGGUCUUCAUCGGCUACGAGCCGGGAUCGGCGGCUUAUCGCGUUUUCCACCCGCCGUCGAAUCGCGUCCUGGUCUCGAGGGAUGUCGUGUUCGAUUAG
rnacentral:rRNA from 1 species